GGGAUGUUCAGAAGGCCAGAUCAGGUAACCCAGGGAGGCUGGGCUUCCACACCUUGCCCAGGACAUGUUCUGUGCAGCUGUUAAGAGGCAACGUGGUCUGAUGGAAUGAGCACUGGUCUAGGAGUCAGGAAGCUUGGACUCUGGAGCUCCUUUGCCUCUGGGGCAGCAAGAGUUGCAAGAAAGUGAAGCAAACCAAGGCAAAAUUGAGAAGCAACAGAAGUAAAAAUGCAAGUGUGUUUGCCUUAGCGCUUGGCUUUGGCGUGCCCCGGCUGUCUGCAGUAGGUGAGGCUGGCUCCCAGGGGACAGGGGUCUGAGCCUCACCAGGCCGCCUAAAACUGCUCCUCCAAAGUUCAGCCAAGGGGAAGCCACACAGGCUGAACUCUGAUCAACUGGGACAAAGAAAAUGGUGCCCAUACCAGCCCUUCUCCUUCUGAGAAUUCUUUUUUUUUUUUUUUUUUGAGGAAGAUUAGCCCUGAGCUAACUACUGCCAGUCCUCCUAUUUUUUACUGAGGAAGCCUGGCCCUAAGCUAACAUUGUGCCCAUCUUCCUCUACUUUAUACGUGGGACGCCUACCACAGCAUGGCGUGCCAAGCGGUGCCAUGUCCACACCCAGGAUCCGAACCGGCGAACCCCAAGCCGCUGAGAAGCGGAACGUAUGAACUUAACCACUGCGCCACUGGGCCAGCCCCCUACUUCUGAGAAUUCUUAAGUACUUGACCCUGAUUCUGUACAUUCCAAAAGUCAUAUUUUUCUUCUAGCAAAAACUGAGAGAUGUGACAAAAUGUAUAGAAGGGAUAAUGUCUAGGUUGUGGCCUUAGAUACUCAACCCAGUUUCUUCUCAUCCUUCUUAACCUUCAAACCUGUCACAGUCGUAUAAUCUAUGACUCAAAACUAUUAUUUAACUAUGAAAAAAGACAAACCAGGAAAUUAGAGGCUGAAUGACCUAAAAUUUAUUCCAUUCAACUGAGCUAAUCCCCUAAUAAGGGUGUAUAUAACAAUCAG
rnacentral:lncRNA from 1 species